rnacentral:rRNA from 1 species
UACGAAGGGGGCUAGCGUUGCUCGGAAUUACUGGGCGUAAAGGGUCUGUAGGUGGCCAACUAAGUCAGACGUGAAAUCCCUCAGCUUAACUGGGGAACUGCGUCUGAUACUGGAUGGCUCGAGUGUGGGAGAGGAAUGCGGAAUUCCAGGUGUAGCGGUGAAAUGCGUAGAUAUCUGGAGGAACACCGGUGGCGAAGGCGGCAUUCUGGACCACAACUGACACUGAGAGACGAAAGCCAGGGGAGCAAACGGG